rnacentral:lncRNA from 1 species
UUAAAACUUAACUUUACUGAAAGCUAUCUGUGCUCCUCAGUUGAAUUCUUUCCUUAAAGAAGAAAAGAAGCUGGAGAAACCUUUGCAUUGUAAUGAAGUUAGUUCCUAAUUAGGAGCAACAUUCUGAUGGAAACAGACAUAGUGACAGGAAGCAUUCAGCUGGACAACAACACUGUAGAAGCACAGCAGGCUGGAGAAGAGAAUAAAGAUCUACAUCAACUCAUUGGCCCAGUGAGCAAAUCACAUCCAGCUUUGUGAGCAAUGAUACCCAGUGGACUCAGCUGGCUCCCAGGUGUCUCCUUGUUCAUCUAGGAGGUUUCUCUAGGCGGCAUGAUAGAUCUACAACGGAUACAUUGGGGGUAGGAACAUGGAAGGCCAUGACAGUGAGCUUCCUGUUCAGCUCUGGGAUGACCUUGCCCACAGUCUUGACAUCACCAGUGGAUGCAGGGAUGAUGUUCUGGGCAGUCCCUUGGCCAUCACGCCACAGCUUUCCAGAGGGACAAUCCACAGUCUUCUGGGUGGCAGUGAUGGCAUCGACUGUGGUAAGGAAUCCUUCCACAAUGCCAAAGUUGUCAUGGAUGACCUUGGCAAGGGGGUGGGUGGGGCUAAGCAGUUGGUGGUGCAGGAAGCAUUGCAGACAAUUUUGUGUUGCAGACAUACUUCUUGUGGUUCACACCCAUCACAAACAUGGGAACAUCAGCAGAAGGGACAGAUAUAAUAACUCUUUUGGCACCACUCUUCAAGUGGUCCCCAGCCUUCUCCAUGGUGGUAAAGAUGCCAGUACACUACACAACAUACUCAGCAACAGCGUCACCCCAUUUGAUGUUAGUGAGAUCCCACUCCUGGAAGAAAGUGAUGGCCUUCCUGUUGAUGGCAAGCUUCCCAUUCUCAGCCUUGACUAUGCCGUUGAACUUGUCAUGGGUAGAGAGUCAUACUGGAACAUGUAGACCAUGUCAAUGAUGGCAACGAUCUCUACUUUGCCAGAUGAGCAGGCAGCCCUGGUAACCAGGUGCCGAAUCCAUUCACUUAGACCUUCACCAUUGUGUCUAAGGGGCGUGGCUGGCACUGCACAAGAGGAUGAGUCUGUCUCUGCAACAGGGAGGAGCAGAGGCCAUGACCUGGAUUCUUAUUCCAAAAUUUUUACUGUGUUUGUUUUAGGCCCACAUCGUCUGGUGCUAACAAUUUUUAAUGUUUAAGAGCUGGAGAUGCUGUUUUCGUAGCAUGGACUCUUGAACAGCCACAGUUCCCCUCAUAACCAAGGGUAGAAUGUGCAGUGCUUGCUGUGACCAACACGGGUGCCAAUGAUACUUUCAUGAGAUGACUCUCAACUCCACUUUACACAAAGAAGUUGACAUAGAUAUGUUCAGUUCAUUGUUCUAGAACACGUGAAAGAACAACGAAACAGGAAGAAGAUUCCAGGGCACAGGCCGCAGGGUUCAUAUCACAUGUUGACGCUGGGAAAAAAAACAAACAAACUACAUUUACAAAAAAAUUCUGGCUGGAGAGAUGGCUCUACCAUUAAAGGCUAGGCUCACAACCAAAAAUACAAAGAAAAUGUAGAUAAAAUCUUAGGCUGUGUCAUUCCAAUAACUGAUUGGGUUUUUAUUAUUAUUAUUUUAUUUUGAUUUAUUUUACCGAACUGGGGCUCCAAACCAGAGUCUUAUCCAUGUUAGCCAUGCAUGCCACUGCUAAACUCAAUCACGAGCCAAGUGGGUUUUAUGUAUUUUAGCUGGGCCACAAUUUAAUGACUUUACCGUUAUUUACAACAUUUUUUUAGAACUCUUUACUGUUGUUUUGUUUGGGGUCCUGAUUUCACUGUGAAGCCCAGGCUGACCUCAAACGAGUCUUCUUUCUACUCUUGAUUCUAGAGUGCUGUGAUCACUAUGCACUGCCAUGCCAGGGUCUUUAGUGGUUUUUAAAUUGUAGAGGAAAAAACAAA